rnacentral:rRNA from 1 species
UACGUAGGUGGCAAGCGUUGUUCGGAAUUAUUGGGCGUAAAGGGCGCGUAGGCGGCAAGGCAAGUCAGGUGUGAAAGCCCCGAGCUUAACUCGGGAAUUGCAUCUGAAACUGCUGUGCUUGAGUUCUGGAGGGGGUAGUGGAAUUCCCAGUGUAGCGGUGAAAUGCGUAGAUAUUGGGAGGAACACCUGCGGCGAAGGCGGCUACCUGGACAGAAACUGACGCUGAGGCGGCGAAAAGCUAGGGGAGCGAACGGG